rnacentral:rRNA from 1 species
AUGCACGCUGGCGGCGUGCCUCAUACAUGCAAGUCGAGCGAACAGACGAGGAGCUUGCUCCUCUGACGUUAGCGGCGGACGGGUGAGUAACACGUGGAUAACCUACCUAUAGACUGGGAUAACUUCGGGAAACCGGAGCUAAUACCGGAUAAUAUAUUGAACCGCAUGGUUCAAUAGUGAAAGACGGUUUUGCUGUCACUUAUAGAUGGAUCCGCGCCGCAUUAGCUAGUUGGUAAGGUAACGGCUUACCAAGGCGACGAUGCGUAGCCGACCUGAGAGGGUGAUCGGCCACACUGGAACUGAGACACGGUCCAGACUCCUACGGGAGGCAGCAGUAGGGAAUCUUCCGCAAUGGGCGAAAGCCUGACGGAGCAACGCCGCGUGAGUGAUGAAGGUCUUCGGAUCGUAAAACUCUGUUAUUAGGGAAGAACAAAUGUGUAAGUAACUAUGCACGUCUUGACGGUACCUAAUCAGAAAGCCACGGCUAACUACGUG